AGAGUUUGAUCAUGGCUCAGAUUGAACGCUGGCGGCAUGCUUUACACAUGCAAGUCGAACGGGGUGAGGGGGCAACUCCUCAUUCAGUGGCGAACGGGUGAGUAAUGCAUCGGAACGUGUCCCGUAGUGGGGGAUAACGCCGCGAAAGCGGCGCUAAUACCGCAUACGCUCUACGGAGGAAAGCGGGGGAUCGCAAGACCUCGCGCUAAGGGAGCGGCCGAUGUCCGAUUAGCUUGUUGGUGGGGUAAUGGCUUACCAAGGCGACGAUCGGUAGCUGGUCUGAGAGGAUGAUCAGCCACACUGGGACUGAGACACGGCCCAGACUCCUACGGGAGGCAGCAGUGGGGAAUUUUGGACAAUGGGGGAAACCCUGAUCCAGCCAUGCCGCGUGCGGGAAGAAGGCCUUCGGGUUGUAAACCGCUUUUAGCCGGGACGAAAGCGCUACGGAUAACACCCGUGGCGGUUGACGGUACCGGCGGAAUAAGCACCGGCUAACUACGUGCCAGCAGCCGCGGUAAUAC
rnacentral:rRNA from 1 species